UACGUAGGGUGCGAGCGUUGCCCGGAUUUAUUGGGCGUAAAGGGCGCGUAGGCGGCCACGCACGUCCGUUGUGAAAUCGCCCGGCUCAACUGGGCGGGGUCGGCGGAUACGGCGUGGCUGGAGCAAGCUAGGGGGCAAUGGAAUUCCCGGUGUAGUGGUGGAAUGCGUAGAUAUCGGGAGGAACACCAGUGGCGAAGGCGGUUACCUGGACAGUUACUGACGCUCAGGCACGAAAGCAUGGGGAGCAAAAGGG
rnacentral:rRNA from 1 species